AUCCGUAGGGUGCAAGCGUUAAUCGGAAUUACUGGGCGUAAAGCGUGCGCAGGCGGUUUUGUAAGACAGAGGUGAAAUUCCCGGGCUCAAACUGGGAACUGACUUUGAGACAGCCAGGCUAGACGACGGCAGAGGGGGAUGGAAUUCCGCGUGUGGAGGAAGAAUGCGUAGAUAUGCGGAGGAACACCGAUGGCGAAGGCAAUCCCCUGGGCCUGUACUGACGCUCAUACACGAAAGCGUGGGGAGCAAACAGGAUUAGAUACCCUGGUAGUCCACGCCCUAAACGAUGUCAACUGGUUGUUGGGUCUUCAUUGACUCAGUAACGAAGCUAACGCGUGAAGUUGACCGCCUGGGGAGUACGGCUGCAAGGUUGAAACUCAAAUGAAUUGACGGGG
rnacentral:rRNA from 1 species